CCAAGGAGUGCAAGAGGCGUGCGAGUCUUUGGGCUGGCAAAACCCUCAGGCGAAAUGAGAGUGAAGGGGGCUUCCAGCCUCCGAGGCGAGAGCCCGUGUCAGUGCGGGCGCAUCGUCGACCGAUCCCAGGCUACGCUGUGGCGGGAUUCGAGUGAGAGCGUGCCUGUUGCGACCCGAAAGAUGGUGAACUAUGCCUGAAUGGGGCGAAGCCAGAGGAAACUCUGGUGGAAGCUCGCAGCGGUUCUGACGUGCAAAUCGAUCGUCAAAUUUGGGUAUAGGGGCGAAAGACUAAUCGAACCGUCUAGUAGCUGGUUCCCUCCGAAGUUUCCCCCAGGAUAGCUGGAGCCCGGUGCAGUUUUAUCAGGUAAAGCGAAUGAUUAGAGGUCUUGGGGUUGAAACAACCUCAACCUAUUCUCAAACUUUAAAUGGGUAAGAAGCUCGGCUUGCUCGGUUGAAGUCGGGCGUGGGAAUGCCGGGGCUCCUAGUGGGCCAUUUUUGGUAAGCAGAACUGGCGAUGCGGGAUGAACCGAACGCCGGGUUAAGGUGCCCGAAUCGACGCUCAUCAGAUCCCAUAAAAGGU
rnacentral:rRNA from 2 species